CUAUACAUGACUCUGCGCAUAUCAAUAAGCGGAGGAAAAGAAACUAACAAGGAUUCCCCUAGUAACGGCGAGUGAAGCGGGAAGAGCUCAAAUUUGAAAUCUUAAAGGGUUUCCCUUUACGAAUUGUAGUUUAAAGAAGUGUUUUCUGUUGAGGUUUUGGUAAAAGUUCUUUGGAAUAGGACAUCAUAGAGGGUGAGAAUCCCGUAUUUGACCUUUACUUUCAACUUUGUGAUACACUUUCAAAGAGUCGGAUUGUUUGGGAAUGCAGUCCAAAAUGGGUGGUAAAUUUCAUCUAAAGCUAAAUAUUGGCGAGAGACCGAUAGCGAACAAGUACCGUGAGGGAAAGAUGAAAAGAACUUUGAAAAGAGAGUUAAACAGUACGUGAAAUUGUCAAAAGGGAAGCGUUUGACACCAGUGUUGUUUUUCUGAAAAUCAAUUAAAGAACUGUUUAUGCUAAGUUGUUUAGACUUUAUCAGCUAACUGUUUAGUUUUGAGCUUUUCUUUAAUGCACUUUUCAGUUAACAAGUCAACAUCAAUUUCUUUUGCUGUAAAAAAGCUUGAGGAAGGUGGCUUGAGAUUCGUCUUAAGUGUUUAUAGCCUCUUGCCUAUGCAGUCGGAGAGAUUGAGGUCUGCAGCGUAGAUCCUUCGGGGCUAAAUGCAUUUGUGCUAAGUUAUAGCAUUUUAUAGACAACUUGUUGACUAUGAUUUGUCUUGUAGCUUACUCGCUUAUGUUAUUUUACCUACGCUUAGGAUGUUGACAGCAGUAUAGACUGU
rnacentral:rRNA from 1 species